AGCACUCCGUCAAAAAGGAGUCUGGCAAUAAAAAAAAGAAAAAAUAAAGAAACAAAGAAAGAAACGAAAAGAAACGUAUGCCCUGUCUCAGGUUGCAACCUCUUACAUGUUUCUCCGAUCUUGUGC
rnacentral:ribozyme from 1 species